CGGCCCCCCAGCCAGGGGUCCUUACUAGGCUGGCGGCUCUCGGCCCCUUCGCCUUCCCUCGCAAACCUACCCCCACCUCCAACACUCCGAGCGGACUCAGCGCAAGGAAGGAAACCCGGAACGGGGGCGGCGGCCCGAGGCGCACGCACGCUACCAGCUUCCGGCAAUCCACGGGUUAAAACGAAGCGGCGGCGCGCGCGGAGGGGAGAGGCGGUUGCUGACAGGUGGCGCCUGCGCACUGGGAUCGCUCAUUGUGCCCCGCAGCUGCCUAGCCGCCCGCCCGCCGCCCGUUCGGCGAGUCAGUCGGCGGAGAGUCCAGUGGUGGGUGCGGAUCUUGAGAUCGUUCCUGCGGCCUCUUCUUCCUCCCCGUUCCCCUCACCCUACCCCACACCCUUUACCUUCUUCCCAGCUCCGUCACCCUCCCGCCCCCCACACUCGAGACGAGAAUGCCCUGCCCGGAACAACCUAGCAGCGCCUAGAUGGCUUUGGUCACGGUCCAGCGGUCGCCUACCCCCAGCACCACCUCCAGCCCCUGCGCCUCGCUCCAUUCACAAUUAGAAGCCAGUAUUUUUCUCAUAGGAUGAUUAUGGUAAGAUAUUGUUGUUUAAGAUGUGGCAACCUCAGAUAUAAAAGCCUCUGUCUUUGAGAAGCAUGUGUUAGUCAAUAUUUAUUACCUUGCCUCUCACCUGUUGUUCCUCUCCUACUUCUGUACCUUCUCACAGUUAAAGAAAAAAUAAAACGCCAACCUUCUUUUACUGGUGCAAAUAGAUAAAGGGAUAUAAGAAAUUACAUUUAUUGAAGUUGAAGGAAGACAUCUCUUUGCAGCUUGCUGACUGGUACAAUGAUUUUCUUAUUGUUGCUUCAGACAUUUUAUAGACACAUCAAGAAUUUGGGAGAGCUCUUUCUUCAGAUUACAGUACUUAGCAUUAUCUCAGGUGAGAGUUACUAUAAACUACAUGUACCAUCUCAUAACACAUUAUCUCAAUCUGUUUAGGAAGAUCACUAAUUCUUUUGAGAAAGUGGUUGUGGUUUAGAAUAAAAGUAAUAACUGGAAUAAAGGC
rnacentral:lncRNA from 1 species